rnacentral:rRNA from 1 species
AUGUACGUACUGAUGCGCGCCCACUACCCGAAAUCAAGGUCAAGCAAACCAGCUGAGACGGCAAAGCUGCGCACGCGAUCGAUUGCUUCCGGUUCUGGGCACUGCUUGACUCAUUUCUUUCUUUUUGAGCAAAGGGACUACCCGCCCGCAGAUUCUUCAUUCGUUAACGAAACAGUUGAGAGUUUCUACACCACCCGUGAGGGCACUGCUGUCUGCUGUACUACGACGUACAGUGCCUUUGAGCUGUCCAAGCUAGAGGAUGGGCCUCUCGAAUUAACUACCACGGACGCGCUCUGGUUCCAUCACUGCUGUGUGCUGACCCGUGACUUGGUCAGAGAUAGUUCGUUGAAGCGAGAGGGCCAUCUCUCGAGUUGCAUAGAUGGGUUCCGAUGGCGAGGCCAUCCAUCGACAUCCGCAGCGAGACGCACGCCGGAAAGCGCACGCGCACCACGUACGCACGCUCUACGCCACUCGCUAGUAGCGGGCGUCGUGGUCAACCUCCCAAGUUAA